UACGUAGGGUGCGAGCGUUGUCCGGAAUUAUUGGGCGUAAAGAGCUCGUAGGCGGUUUGUCGCGUCUGCUGUGAAAUCCCGAGGCUCAACCUCGGGCCUGCAGUGGGUACGGGCAGACUGGAGUGCGGUAGGGGAGAAUGGAAUUCCUGGUGUAGCGGUGGAAUGCGCAGAUAUCAGGAGGAACACCGGUGGCGAAGGCGGGUCUCUGGGCCGAUACUGACACUGAGGAGCGAAAGCGUGGGGAGCGAACAGG
rnacentral:rRNA from 1 species